rnacentral:rRNA from 1 species
AGAGUUUGAUCCUGGCUCAGGAUGAACGCUAGCUACAGGCUUAACACAUGCAAGUCGAGGGGCAGCAUCAUCAAAGCUUGCUUUGAUGGAUGGCGACCGGCGCACGGGUGAGUAACACGUAUCCAACCUGCCGACAACACUGGGAUAGCCUUUCGAAAGAAAGAUUAAUACCGGAUGGCAUAGUUUUCCCGCAUGGGAUAAUUAUUAAAGAAUUUCGGUUGUCGAUGGGGAUGCGUUCCAUUAGGCAGUUGGCGGGGUAACGGCCCACCAAACCUACGAUGGAUAGGGGUUCUGAGAGGAAGGUCCCCCACAUUGGAACUGAGACACGGUCCAAACUCCUACGGGAGGCAGCAGUGAGGAAUAUUGGUCAAUGGACGAGAGUCUGAACCAGCCAAGUAGCGUGAAGGAUGACUGCCCUAUGGGUUGUAAACUUCUUUUAUACGGGAAUAAAGUUAGCCACGUGUGGCUUUUUGUAUGUACCGUAUGAAUAAGGAUCGGCUAACUCCGUGCCAGCAGCCGCGGUAAUACGGAGGAUCCGAGCGUUAUCCGGAUUUAUUGGGUUUAAAGGGAGCGUAGGCGGGUUGUUAAGUCAGUUGUGAAAGUUUGCGGCUCAACCGUAAAAUUGCAGUUGAUACUGGCGACCUUGAGUGCAACAGAGGUAGGCGGAAUUCGUGGUGUAGCGGUGAAAUGCUUAGAUAUCACGAAGAACUCCGAUUGCGAAGGCAGCUUACUGGAUUGUAACUGACGCUGAUGCUCGAAAGUGUGGGUAUCAAACAGGAUUAGAUACCCUGGUAGUCCACACAGUAAACGAUGAAUACUCGCUGUUGGCGAUAUACAGUCAGCGGCCAAGCGAAAGCAUUAAGUAUUCCACCUGGGGAGUACGCCGGCAACGGUGAAACUCAAAGGAAUUGACGGGGGCCCGCACAAGCGGAGGAACAUGUGGUUUAAUUCGAUGAUACGCGAGGAACCUUACCCGGGCUUAAAUUGCAACUGACUGAACCGGAAACGGUUCUUUCUUCGGACAGUUGUGAAGGUGCUGCAUGGUUGUCGUCAGCUCGUGCCGUGAGGUGUCGGCUUAAGUGCCAUAACGAGCGCAACCCUUACGGGUAGUUACCAUCAGGUUAUGCUGGGGACUCUACCCGGACUGCCGUCGUAAGAUGUGAGGAAGGUGGGGAUGACGUCAAAUCAGCACGGCCCUUACGUCCGGGGCUACACACGUGUUACAAUGGGGGGUACAGAAGGCAGCUACACGGCGACGUGGUGCUAAUCCCGAAAGCCUCUCUCAGUUCGGAUUGGAGUCUGCAACCCGACUCCAUGAAGCUGGAUUCGCUAGUAAUCGCGCAUCAGCCACGGCGCGGUGAAUACGUUCCCGGGCCUUGUACACACCGCCCGUCAAGCCAUGAAAGCCGGGGGUACCUGAAGUACGUAACCGCGAGGAGCGUCCUAGGGUAAAACUGGUGAUUGGGGCUAAGUCGUAACAAGGUAGCCGUACCGGAAGGUGCGGCUG